rnacentral:rRNA from 1 species
GGAAUACCCUCGGGAAACUGAGGCCAAUUCCGGAUACUGCUUUCAUGUUGGAACACAGAAAGUCGGAAACGGUCCGCCGCCGGAGGACGUGACUGCGGCCGAUUAGGUAGACGGUGGGGUAACGGCCCACCGUGCCGAUAAUCGGUACGGGUUGUGAGAGCAAGAACCCGGAGACGGUAUCUGAGACAAGAUACCGGGCCCUACGGGGCGCAGCAGGCGCGAAACCUUUACACUGCACGCCAGUGCGAUAAGGGGACCCCGAGUGCGAGGGCAUACAGUCCUCGCUUUUCGUGACCGUAAGAAGGUCUCAGAAUAAGAGCUGGGCAAGACCGGUGCCAGCCGCCGCGGUAAUACCGGCAGCUCGAGUGAUAGCCACUAUUAUUGGGCCUAAAGCGUCCGUAGCCGGCCGAACAGGUCCGUCGGGAAAUCCACCUGCUCAACAGGUGGACGUCCGGCGGAAACCAGUCGGCUUGGGGCCGGGAGACCAGAGAGGUACGUCCGGGGUAGGAGUGAAAUCCUGUAAUCCUGGACGGACCGCCGGUAGCGAAAGCGUCUCUGGAGAACGGACCCGACGGUGAGGGACGAAAGCUUGGGUCUCGAACCGGAUUAGAUACCCGGGUAGUCCAAGCUGUAAACGAUGCUCGCUAGGUGUGGCGUUGGCUACGAGCCAGCGCUGUGCCGUAGGGAAGCCGAGAAGCGAGCCGCCUGGGAAGUACGUCCGCAAGGAUGAAACUUAAAGGAAUUGGCGGGGGAGCACUACAACCGGAGGAGCCUGCGGUUUAAUUGGACUCAACGCCGGACAUCUCACCGGCACCGACAGUGUGCAGUGACAGUCAGUCUGAUGGGCUUACUUGAGCCACUGAGAGGAGGUGCAUG